GAUGAACGCUGGCGGCGUGCCUAAUACAUGCAAGUCGAGCGAACGGACGAGAAGCUUGCUUCUCUGAUGUUAGCGGCGGACGGGUGAGUAACACGUGGAUAACCUACCUAUAAGACUGGGAUAACUUCGGGAAACCGGAGCUAAUACCGGAUAAUAUUUUGAACCGCAUGGUUCAAAAGUGAAAGACGGUCUUGCUGUCACUUAUAGAUGGAUCCGCGCUGCAUUAGCUAGUUGGUAAGGUAACGGCUUACCAAGGCAACGAUGCAUAGCCGACCUGAGAGGGGGGACGGGCCCCCCUGAAACGAGGCCCGGUCCCGGACCCCACGGGGAGGCAGAGGUGGGGAUCCUCCCGAAAGGGCGAAAGCCUGACGGAGCAACGCCGCGUGAGUGAUGAAGGUCUUCGGAUCGUAAAACUCUGUUAUUAGGGAAGAACAUAUGUGUAAGUAACUGUGCACAUCUUGACGGUACCUAAUCAGAAAGCCACGGCUAACUACGU
rnacentral:rRNA from 1 species